GCUCACUUCACCAGAACAUAUACUAAAAUUGGGACCUUACAGAGAAGGUAAGAUGGCCCCUGAGCAAGGAUGACAUACAAAUU
rnacentral:snRNA from 1 species